GUAGUCUCGCACAGAUGCAUAUCAAUAAGCGGAGGAAAAGAAACUAACAAGGAUUCCCCUAGUAACGGCGAGUGAAGCGGGAAGAGCUCAAAUUUGAAAUCUUAAAGGGUUUCCCUUUACGAAUUGUAGUUUAAAGAAGUGUUUUCUGUUGAGGUUUUGGUAAAAGUUCUUUGGAAUAGGACAUCAUAGAGGGUGAGAAUCCCGUAUUUGACCUUUACUUUCAACUUUGUGAUACACUUUCAAAGAGUCGGAUUGUUUGGGAAUGCAGUCCAAAAUGGGUGGUAAAUUUCAUCUAAAGCUAAAUAUUGGCGAGAGACCGAUAGCGAACAAGUACCGUGAGGGAAAGAUGAAAAGAACUUUGAAAAGAGAGUUAAACAGUACGUGAAAUUGUCAAAAGGGAAGCGUUUGACACCAGUGUUGUUUUUCUGAAAAUCAAUUAAAGAACUGUUUAUGCUAAGUUGUUUAGACUUUAUCAGCUAUCUGCUUAGUUUUGAGCUUUUCUUUAAUGCACUUUUCAGUUAACAAGUCAACAUCAAUUUCUUUUGCUGUAAAAAAGCUUGAGGAAGGUGGCUUGAGAUUCGUCUUAAGUGUUUAUAGCCUCUUGCCUAUGCAGUCGGAGAGAUUGAGGUCUGCAGCGUAGAUCCUUCGGGGCUAAAUGCAUUUGUGCUAAGUUAUAGCAUUUUAUAGACAACUUGUUGACUAUGAUUUGUCUUGUAGCUUACUCGCUUAUGUUAUUUUACCUACGCUUAGGAUGUUGAACUCUAUCACACACAG
rnacentral:rRNA from 1 species